GACGAACGCUGGCGGCGUGCUUAACACAUGCAAGUCGAACGGAAAGGCCCUGCUUUUGUGGGGUACUCGAGUGGCAAACGGGUGAGUAACACGUGAGUAACCUGCCCUUGACUUUGGGAUAACUUCAGGAAACUGGGGCUAAUACCGGAUAGGAGCUCCUGCUGCAUGGUGGGGGUUGGAAAGUUUCGGCGGUUGGGGAUGGACUCGCGGCUUAUCAGCUUGUUGGUGGGGUAGUGGCUUACCAAGGCUUUGACGGGUAGCCGGCCUGAGAGGGUGACCGGCCACAUUGGGACUGAGAUACGGCCCAGACUCCUACGGGAGGCAGCAGUGGGGAAUAUUGCACAAUGGGCGGAAGCCUGAUGCAGCAACGCCGCGUGCGGGAUGACGGCCUUCGGGUUGUAAACCGCUUUCGCCUGUGACGAAGCGUGAGUGACGGUAAUGGGUAAAGAAGCACCGGCUAACUACGUG
rnacentral:rRNA from 1 species